CCUGCCAUAUUCAAAAAAACACAAAAGGAACAAGAAUUAAUCAUUAAUUAAUGAGUAUUUAGAUUGAUUUAAAAUUCCCUUGUAUAAAUGUAGAAAUGUAAGUUAAAGCUUAUCCAUGUAAAAUAUUGGGUUCAUUGCUUUGAUUCCGUCUCCUAUUCAUAUUCACCUUACCUUCAAAUUCCAAUUUUUACAUGAUAAAAAUUGUACAGAACAAGUAAAGUAACAAAAAAACCUCCACCUUAAUGCAACUACUUUUUCAGAUUGAAGAUUAUUAAUGUAAAUGCCUUUGAUAUCAAAAGAAGAUUAACAUCCAAUCCGAUUUGGUUCCAUUAUCAUAGGAUUUUCCAUUUCUUUUGAAACAUUUUCAUCUCAAUUGUCUUCCCUCUAAUUCCUUUUAUUUUACCAUCUACAUUAUCAUUAUUGGCAUUAUUUUUUACGAUCAAAUCUACAAUGGGGCAACAACAAGAAACAACUAUAAAACUGACCAAUGGCCAUGGACAAGAUAUAACAUUACAAUGGAUUUAAUGUCGUCAGGAUUAGAUUCUAAUGGGUGGUCAUUUCUUCUAAAAUCUGCUCACUGUUUCCUGCAUCUUCAUCAUCUUCAUCUCUUUCCAGUUGUUGUCAAAAUGAUUGGAUUCGGUCCUUUAAAGCUAACCUAAUGUUUAAGGUGGUCAGUUUUUGUCUACUUUUGUCAUUGGCUCCAAAGGUUCAUUUACACCACUUAAAUGACCAUGAUCAUCACUAUUAUCAUUAUCACCAUCAGAGUUGAUCAUCAAAUUUCAUCCUCAUCGUCUUCACUCAAAUCUUAGUAAUCAUCACAGUGAAUAUCAAUUGUUGAACCGAGAAGAAGAAACCAAAAUAAUGAACCAAAUAUUAAAGAUACACUAUAAUGAUUGAUGAUUGAAAUUUUUGUUACUAAUUGCACGGAAUCAUUGAGGCCAAUAAUUAUGACUUGAUUCCGUGACUACUUUCUAUCAAAUAAUACUAUAUUACAGCUGAAAAGGCAAAAAGAUAUCACCAAAAAUGGCCUCAAAAUGGCCUCACCAAGGUGGUUAUUUGAUCACCUUAAAUGCAUUACAGACUGACUAUUCUCACUUUCCGUAAAACCAGCCAUUUCUUCAAAAUAAAUUAAAUCAGCUGAAAAUUGAUUAUCACCAACAAAUAAUUAACAGAUUGAAAUUUAUAAAUUGAUUGAAAAAUGUACAAAAUAUUUAAUGUUAUUAAUGCAAGAAUUGAUUCACUAAAAUUGUUCUGAUCCUUGACUGUUGCGAAGUGUUGAGAAAUUGUAAAUCAUUAAAAGAUGUUAAUUUACUCGUUAAAUGUCAGUAAAGUAAUCAAAAUAUUGAAUUGAAACUCAUCAUGUAGGCUAAUUGAAUCAUUUGCUUGAUUCUUGAAAUUUUGGGUAAAUUAAUUAAAGGCAAUUUGGAGGAAAAAGUUAAUGAUAAGAAAAAAAAAGUGAACUUGUUUGCCUUCAUUUCAUUGUGUGUUCAACCAGCCUUUAUUAGAAAGCUAAUCAAUAGAGAAAUCCUAUUCAAGUUAAAUCGUUACAAUUGAUUUCAUUGUAUAGAGUAGGUGUCAAUGUAAAGGUAAGUUGUCAACAUCAUCAUCAUCAUCAUCAUCAUUCUUUUUAACGCUAUUUCAAUCUUUCAAUUCAUCUUUUCUCUUCUUCUCAAUGUUCGCAAUGAAAAGGAAGACAAAAAAGACAUGAAAUGAGAAGCUCGAACAAAAUAGGAAACAGAGAAAAGAUAAAGACGAAAAUGAAGAGAAAGAUGAAGAUAAUGAUGAUGAGGAUGAUGAUAAAGUAAUAGGAAAACUGAAAGAUAUUGAAGGUUAAAUGGUUAUCCUGUAAAAUCACACUCAGCCUAAGGCCAAGUUGUUACAAAGACAUAGAGAUGAUGAAGAGAUGAAUGCCUUUUUUUGUACCAAACCCUAAUAAGUAAUUACAGGUCAACACGAAAGUUAAUCAAGUGCUAUAUCAUACAAUAAAUAUAUAUUGCUUGACAAACCAUGUCAUCUUGGGUUUAGGUUUACUCCAUCAUCUUCUUGUUCAAUGAACACUUUGGCAAAACAAGAAACGCUUGCAAAUAAUCAAGUUCAACUAAAGUUAAAUCUGUAUUUUUCGUCGUCAAAUUUGACCUGAAUGCCGAUGAUAUAUACUAAGGUAUUACCUUUUUUUUAUAAUAGUCAUCAACCUCCUCCUCUUAUUCAAGGAGAAAAGUCCAGAGAAAGUAUAAAAGGUUUUCAAGAGAUAAAGCAAAAUGAUUAAUGAACUUUCAUGUUAAGAUAGUCUAAUUACAGACCAAUUUUAGCUUAAUUUGACAGCAAACUAUUGAACUAAGCCACCGUCAUUUUUGUUGGACUCCUGCUGCUUGUUACAAUCAUUAUCAUGUUGUCUAUGUGUAGGCCUAUUCAAUUUGCCUUUGAUAUUACAUUUUAAAAUCGUAUUUUCUCAUUAUUUUUUAUAUACAUUUGUGUCUCUACAAUCAAUUGGCAAGGUCUUCAUUAGUAAUACCAUUAAAUUGAUUGAAAUAUAUUUAAUCUUGGGAAUUUGAAAUGAAUAGGAAAAUAAAAAAUUAGUUCAACUUGACAAAUUAACAAACUGAUUGACAAUACAUAAUAUGGUGUUGACCCCUUCACUCUGUGACUAAUAAAACCGGGAAAUUUUUCCCAAUGUUACGCCAUUUUCACCAUUGCUAACCUGUUCUUCUUCCUAACAAUUUACUGUUUGAUUUAUAAAUUAUUUAUGUUUGUUUCUUCUUUAAUGGCCUUCUAAUGUGAUCUUUAAUCAGCUUUAUUAUUGUGUGUAUUAUUGUUAAUUUUCUCAACAAUCAACCAUCAUAAUUGAUUGCUAACUGAUUUUAAGAUAUUUAUGUUUAUAAAUCACGCUCUUUUUUGGGCUUUACUGUCAUCUCAUAUCAAUUUACCGAUAUAUCAUGAUGGCUUGUAAAAAUUAAACACUUGGUAACCCGAUCUUGGUGCCAUUAAAUUUAGAUUAUUAAUUGAUCAGGCUAAUUUAGGUUUACUGUGAAUUGCAGCUUCCUGAAAUGAAACUGGAUGAUAUCAAUAAAGACACCAACGACUUUAACAAAGGUAAAUCAUACUCAAAGAAAGGAGAAGAGAAUUACUAUAAACCUUGUUACUGAGAGGUGAAGGUUAAAUACAUUGAUGGAGCAGAGUAAAAGGACGUCAAUUAAAUCUCAGUAAACCAUUAAAUAGUUUUGAAGAGUGCAAUUAAACCAUGAUUAAAGACAAUUCUCACAGCCAUAAUAAUAAAAUUAUCAACUUUCACCGAAACCAUUCACAUUAACAUAAAAUGCAAGUUAACCAUGGAUCAAAGAUGAGGAGAAAAAUGCAAGAAACGGCAAAAAAAGAUCGGAAUAAUAGCCAAAAAGAUGCUAUGCAAGAAAAUAAAAAAUGUUGAAAAGUUAAUAUGGAUAAAGUGAGGAAAGUCAAAAGGAACCUUAAAAUAAUUUUUCCUUUCAAGACAAGUUUUCAUCACUUCUUUUGAUUCUUGUAGCUGUGAGAAAGAUGGAGCAUAAAUGGAUAACUAAUAAAUAAGUGGGGAAAAAGUGGCCUAAAACGUGAUAUAAAAAAGCUAUGAAAAUGAAGAUCGCAAGAUCAGGAUAAAAAGAUGAAACAAAAUUAUGAUACAAAAUGAUGAUUAUUUGCUGGUGAAAAUGAAGCCUGUCAUUAAGUUAUAAUUUGUUAAAACAAAAUCAAAGCGAUUGGCCAGUUGUUUAUUAUUUUCCUAUUUUAUGGCCAAUCUAAUGGUAAAUAUAAAAGACCACAAAAGAGGCCUUAAUUGCGGUGAAUCACAAUUAACUAAAUUAACCUGGGCCCUGCAUAAGAUACUUGCAGCUUGUCAUCUUUCCUCAUCAUCAAACAUCAUCAUCAUCCUCUUCAUCUUAACUAACAUUGAUUCUUGAAAGGCAAUUUUUAAUACCAAUUUUUUUUACCAAAUAAGGAUUACUUAACAUUUACCUGUUAUACACCUAAGGGUUUGGCCUUUUUUGAUUCAAUAUUUGUUGAACGAUUGAUUUAUUGAUAAACUUAUUGCUUUUAUUUGUAUUAAAACAUGAAAACAUUUGUUUAUCAGAAACUAA